AGAACGAACGCUGGCGGCAUGCCUAAUACAUGCAAGUCGAACGAACACUUCGGUGUUAGUGGCGCACGGGUGCGUAACGCGUGGGAAUCUGCCCUUGGGUUCGGAAUAACAGUUGGAAACGACUGCUAAUACCGGAUGAUGACGAAAGUCCAAAGAUUUAUCGCCCAGGGAUGAGCCCGCGUAGGAUUAGCUAGUUGGUGAGGUAAAGGCUCACCAAGGCGACGAUCCUUAGCUGGUCUGAGAGGAUGAUCAGCCACACGUGGGACUGAGACACGGCCCAG
rnacentral:rRNA from 1 species